AGAACGUCGUGAGACAGUUCGGUCUCUAUCUGCUGUGGGCGUUAGAAAUUUGCGUGGAUCUGACUCUAGUACGAGAGGACCGAGUUGGACUGACCUCUAGUGUACCAGUUGUUUCGCCAGAAGCAUGGCUGGGUAGCUACGUCGGGAAGGGAUAAGCGCUGAAAGCAUAUAAGCGCGAAACCCACCACAAGAUGAGAUUUCUUUAAAGGGUCGUUGGAGAUGACAACGUUGAUAGGCUAUAGGUGUAAGUGCAGUAAUGUAUGUAGCCGA
rnacentral:rRNA from 1 species